AUGGGAUUUAUGGUGGCUCAGGUGUUGGAGGGUAACCAACCGGUUUUGAUGUUCUACCUAGCCACUGUGGAUUUCACAUCUUGUAGAGUGAUGAGUUUGUUGCAAAACAUGACUUAAUGAAGAUGAAUCAUGUGGUUUGUUCGAAGCCUAGGCAAGUCAACCUCUUCAGUUCCACCUUGAACGGGCCUGCUAUGAAUUGAAGAUGACAAAUGUGCUAUCAGCCAGCUGGACUUAUAUGAAUAUAAUUCAGGCCCAGACUGAGCUUGAAUUUAUGCACAAUAUUUCUGAGGAGGUCUGCUCUCAGUUACAUUCUUGAAAGUGCUCCGUUCAAUGAUAGCCAAAAAUGGUGUAAGAAAAUCACUACUUGUAGCACCAAUGCCAACUGCUUCAACAAGUCAAUUUCUUGGAAAUAACGAGUGUUUUGAGCCCUACACUUCCAAUAUCUACAGCCGUCGGGUUUUAAGUGGUGAGUUUGUUGUGGUGAACAAGCAUUUGCUGCAUGAUUGAUAAUCUCACUAAGAGUAUAUCCCGCUAAUUGGAUCGGAUGAUGCAAGAUACACUUUGUUGGGAGUGCCCAACUUUGAAUAAUGAAGCGACUUCUUUUUUAAUCGAGCCGAGCUUAUAAAAAGUGAAUUUGGAUCGAGUCGGUGAGAUAUCGAAGGAGAUUAUGUCGGUUCGAAAGACGAUCGAGCGGGUGAAGCUUGUGACGAUGGA
rnacentral:lncRNA from 1 species